ACGCCCACGUGCACGAGCUCAGGCAGGGGGUGCUGCAGGUUGAGCUGUGGCAGAGGGGUUACCAGGGAGGGUUGUUGUCAGAACAAUAUUAAUGAGGGCUGCUGUACUCACGUGUGUGUGGGGGACUCCAAUUUGAGUGUUUUCCUACCAAGUUUAGCUGUGUGUGAUAUCCAGCAAUGCCACAGCCUGAGGGACAUGAGCCUGUGUGUGUGUGUGUCUGUGUGUGUGUGUCUGUGUGCGCGCGUGCAUACACGCACUCAGCGGAGGCCUGUCCUAGUUUCCUUCCCCUCGCCAGGGACCCAGAGGAUCCAAGGACUGACGCACAUCACCUGACAGCCGCCCCUCCACGACCCUACACUGUGGCUCCUGCUGCAGUUGUGUUAUCAACUUUUAAAGCACUGUGGGGAAAUCUAAAUCAACAGCAGUAAGCAUGCCAUGCCACACACAACGCCUAGAAAAGGUGCUAACAUAAUAUGACAGGUGUCGUGGCUGGUCCACUGCUCUUAUAGACCACGAAAGGAGGUGA